GUCGACUCUGGAGGACGGUGAGAAGCGAACGGCAGGAAGUAAUCUCUGGCAAACUGGAAGACAUCAUCUGGUUUCCUCAGCAACAAGAACUGCAGGAAGUCCGAUAUGAGGGCUCGGAUGUCUGGAUUCUGCUUCAGUGGGUGGGCACUGUGGUUGGGCAGUGUAAGAACCAUGAUGAACUCACCCAUCAUCCAGGAAGUAGCACUGCCACGUAGUGGGGCUGUCCUCCACAGAGUGAACGGUCCUCUCCAUCCCGAAUACCUCCACGGUCUCACCCCCAACGUCCAGCUGCUUCAGACCCAGCUCACUCUGAACACGGACAGAUAAUCAGAGUUCACUCUUCAGAAAAUAGUCAUCGAAGGACAAAGAAGUCUUGCACACAGACGUCAAUGCUUACAAAGGUGGUUUGGAUCAUGUUUAAUCUCUGGUCGAAGGAGAUGAAGGUCAUGUGUUCUGGCACCUUCUUCCUCAGGUUGAUCAGGCGCAUCAGCAGCAGGAUGGAUCCCUCUGUUACCAACCCUCUCAGUACAGAUGUGGGAUAUGAGACACUCUCCUUCGUCACCUCCUGUACAGACACACACACACACACACACACAAACACACACACACAAGAGGAUUACACUUAUGAUGACAUCUCCCAGAAAUCAUUUUAAAGAUGGUAGAGUUACAUCAAGUGGGACACGGGCUAAAUAACAAAUGCAAGUUAUUUUGAAGAUCAUCCAAAAAAUGUAUUGUUGCUAACCCAUGGCAAAGAUAUAAAACUGCAGCUAUGUGUUGUCGUGUGAUGAAAUUUUCUUUUUCUCAAUUUUUCCACAUUAGGAGUACCUUGAUAUACUUCUUUUGUGUAUAUCAAAAUGUAUCACCCCUGCCCCAAGGAACAUAUUGUGGGAUUUUCUUUUACACAUAUAUUUCAAAACGGACACAUUCCUUUUUUGUGAUUAUGAGGCAUUAAACAAAAGGGCUUGA